rnacentral:lncRNA from 1 species
UUUUUACCGGUUUUUCAAAAAUUCGAUAAAAAUGCGUGAGAAACGUGAAUUUUUAUCGGACAUUUCUAAAAAACCGAUAAAAAUGUUUUUUUUUUCAAAAAUUGGGUAAAAUUGUAUAUUUAUUGGUCAUAAAAUUGGUAGUUUGAUUGAAAUAUCUGACAUAUUUGAGAGGUUUUCAAAAAUUCGAAAUGUGACAAUAGUAUAAUGAAAGAGAUUUUUAUAUUUUGCCAGAUUAAUAUGGUAAUACCAUAACAUGUGUGCGGGGCUCAAAU